AUUGAACGCUGGCGGCAUGCUCUACACAUGCAAGUCGAACGGUAACAGGCCGCAAGGUGCUGACGAGUGGCGAACGGGUGAGUAAUGCAUCGGAACGUGCCCAGUCGUGGGGGAUAACUACUCGAAAGAGUAGCUAAUACCGCAUACGAUCUAUGGAUGAAAGCGGGGGACCGUAAGGCCUCGCGCGAUUGGAGCGGCCGAUGUCAGAUUAGGUAGUUGGUGGGGUAAAGGCUCACCAAGCCAACGAUCUGUAGCUGGUCUGAGAGGACGACCAGCCACACUGGGACUGAGACACGGCCCAGACUCCUACGGGAGGCAGCAGUGGGGAAUUUUGGACAAUGGGCGCAAGCCUGAUCCAGCAAUGCCGCGUGCAGGAAGAAGGCCUUCGGGUUGUAAACCGCUUUUGUACGGAACGAAACGGCUCUGGUUAAUACCCGGGGCUAAUGACGGUACCGUAAGAAUAAGCACCGGCUAACUACGUG
rnacentral:rRNA from 1 species